rnacentral:rRNA from 1 species
UAUCAGCACCCCGAGUGGUCGGGACGAUUAUUGGGCCUAAAGCAUCCGUAGCCGGUUUUACAAGUCCUCCGUUAAAUCCAGCUGCUUAACAGAUGGGCUGCGGAGGAUACUAUAAGACUAGGGGGCAGGAGAGGCAAGCGGUACUCAGUGGGUAGGGGUAAAAUCCGUUGAUCCAUUGAAGACCACCAGUGGCGAAGGCGGCUUGCCAGAAUGCGCUCGACGGUGAGGGAUGAAAGCUGGGGGAGCAAACCGG